rnacentral:rRNA from 1 species
UACGAGGGGUGCAAGCGUUGCUCGGAAUUAUUGGGCGUAAAGGGUAGGUAGGUGGUCUCAUUUGUCUGGGGUGAAAGCCCAGGGCUUAACCCUGGAAGUGCCCCAGAAACGGUGAGACUUUUGAGUCCUGGAGAGGGUCGUGGAAUUCCCGGUGUAGCGGUGAAAUGCGUAGAGAUCGGGAGGAACACCUGCGGCGAAAGCGGCGCCCUGGACAGGCACUGACACUCAACUACGAAAGCGUGGGGAGCAAACAGG